rnacentral:rRNA from 1 species
GACGAACGCUGGCGGCGUGCUUAACACAUGCAAGUCGAACGGAAAGGCCCUGCUUGCAGGGUACUCGAGUGGCGAACGGGUGAGUAACACGUGGGUGAUCUGCCCUGCACUUCGGGAUAAGCCUGGGAAACUGGGUCUAAUACCGGAUAGGAGCCAUUUUUAGUGUGAUGGUUGGAAAGUUUUUUCGGUGUAGGAUGAGCUCGCGGCCUAUCAGCUUGUUGGUGGGGUAAUGGCCUACCAAGGCGGCGACGGGUAGCCGGCCUGAGAGGGUGGACGGCCACAUUGGGACUGAGAGACGGCCCAGGCUCCUACGGGAGGCAGCAGUGGGGAAGCUUGCACAAUGGGCGCAAGCCUGAUGCAGCGACGCCGCGGGGGGGAUGACGGCCUUCGGGUUGUAAACUCCUUUCGCUAGGGACGAAGCUUUUUGUGACGGUACCUAGAUAAGAAGCACCGGCUAACUACGUG